UUCGGUGGUCAUAGCGAAGGGGAAAUACCCGGCAACAUUCCGAACCCGGAAGUCAAGC
rnacentral:rRNA from 1 species